rnacentral:rRNA from 1 species
GUGGAUUAGUGGCGAACGGGUGAGUAACACGUGAGUAACCUGCCCUUGACUCUGGGAUAAGCGUUGGAAACGACGUCUAAUACCGGAUACGAGCUUCCACCGCAUGGUGAGUUGCUGGAAAGAAUUUUGGUCAAGGAUGGACUCGCGGCCUAUCAGCUUGUUGGUGAGGUAACGGCUCACCAAGGCGACGACGGGUAGCCGGCCUGAGAGGGUGACCGGCCACACUGGGACUGAGACACGGCCCAGACUCCUACGGGAGGCAGCAGUGGGGAAUAUUGCACAAUGGGCGAAAGCCUGAUGCAGCAACGCCGCGUGAGGGACGACGGCCUUCGGGUUGUAAACCUCUUUUAGCAGGGAAGAAGCGAAAGUGACGGUACCUGCAGAAAAAGCACCGGCUAACUACGUGCCAGCAGCCGCGGUAAUACGUAGGGUGCAAGCGUUGUCCGGAAUUAUUGGGCGUAAAGAGCUCGUAGGCGGUUUGUCGCGUCUGCUGUGAAAUCCCGAGGCUCAACCUCGGGUUCUGCAGUGGGUACGGGCAGACUAGAGUGCGGUAGGGGAGAUUGGAAUUCCUGGUGUAGCGGUGGAAUGCGCAGAUAUCAGGAGGAACACCGAUGGCGAAGGCAGAUCUCUGGGCCGCUACUGACGCUGAGGAGCGAAAGGGUGGGGAGCAAACAGGCUUAGAUACCCUGGUAGUCCACCCCGUAAACGUUGGGCGCUAGAUGUGGGGACCAUUCCACGGUUUCCGUGUCGUAGCUAACGCAUUAAGCGCCCCGCCUGGGGAGUACGGCCGCAAGGCUAAAACUCAAAGGAAUUGACGGGGGCCCGCACAAGCGGCGGAGCAUGCGGAUUAAUUCGAUGCAACGCGAAGAACCUUACCAAGGCUUGACAUAUACGAGAACGGGCCAGAAAUGGUCAACUCUUUGGACACUCGUAAACAGGUGGUGCAUGGUUGUCGUCAGCUCGUGUCGUGAGAUGUUGGGUUAAGUCCCGCAACGAGCGCAACCCUCGUUCUAUGUUGCCAGCACGUAAUGGUGGGAACUCAUGGGAUACUGCCGGGGUCAACUCGGAGGAAGGUGGGGACGACGUCAAAUCAUCAUGCCCCUUAUGUCUUGGGCUUCACGCAUGCUACAAUGGCCAGUACAAAGGGCUGCAAUACCGUAAGGUGGAGCGAAUCCCAAAAAGCUGGUCCCAGUUCGGAUUGAGGUCUGCAACUCGACCUCAUGAAGUCGGAGUCGCUAGUAAUCGCAGAUCAGCAACGCUGCGGUGAAUACGUUCCCGGGCCUUGUACACACCGCCCGUCAAGUCAUGAAAGUCGGUAACACCCGAAG